rnacentral:rRNA from 1 species
GAGAUUCCCCCAGUAGCGGCGAGCGAACGGGGAGCAGCCCAGAGCCUGAAUCAGUGUGUGUGUUAGUGGAAGCGUCUGGAAAGGCGCGCGAUACAGGGUGACAGCCCCGUACACAAAAAUGCACAUGCUGUGAGCUCGAUGAGUAGGGCGGGACACGUGGUAUCCUGUCUGAAUAUGGGGGGACCAUCCUCCAAGGCUAAAUACUCCUGACUGACCGAUAGUGAACCAGUACCGUGAGGGAAAGGCGAAAAGAACCCCGGCGAGGGGAGUGAAAAAGAACCUGAAACCGUGUACGUACAAGCAGUGGGAGCACAGAGCAAUCUGUGUGACUGCGUACCUUUUGUAUAAUGGGUCAGCGACUUAUAUUCUGUAGCAAGGUUAACCGAAUAGGGGAGCCGAAGGGAAACCGAGUCUUAACUGGGCGUUAAGUUGCAGGGUAUAGACCCGAAACCCGGUGAUCUAGCCAUGGGCAGGUUGAAGGUUGGGUAACACUAACUGGAGGACCGAACCGACUAAUGUUGAAAAAUUAGCGGAUGACUUGUGGCUGGGGGUGAAAGGCCAAUCAAACCGGGAGAUAGCUGGUUCUCCCCGAAAGCUAUUUAGGUAGCGCCUCGUGAAUUCAUCUCCGGGGGUAGAGCACUGUUUCGGCAAGGGGGUCAUCCCGACUUACCAACCCGAUGCAAACUGCGAAUACCGGAGAAUGUUAUCACGGGAGACACACGGCGGGUGCUAACGUCCGUCGUGAAGAGGGAAACAACCCAGACCGCCAGCUAAGGUCCCAAAGUCAUGGUUAAGUGGGAAACGAUGUGGGAAGGCCCAGACAGCCAGGAUGUUGGCUUAGAAGCAGCCAUCAUUUAAAGAAAGCGUAAUAGCUCACUGGUCGAGUCGGCCUGCGCGGAAGAUGUAACGGGGCUAAACCAUG